CCUACGGGAGGCAGCAGUGAGGAAUAUUGGACAAUGGAUGGAAAUCUGAUCCAGCCAUGCCGCGUGCAGGAAGACGGCCCUAUGGGUUGUAAACUGCCUUUGUGUGGGAGCAAUAAGGUCUAUGCGUAGACUGAUGAGAGUACCAUACGAAUAAGCAUCGGCUAACUCCGUGCCAGCAGCCGCGGUAAUACGGGGGAUGCAAGCGUUAUCCGGAUUUAUUGGGUUUAAAGGGUGCGUAGGCGGUUUGAUAAGUCAGCGGUGAAAUAUUUCAGCUUAACUGGAAGGGUGCCGUUGAUACUGUCAGGCUUGAAUAUGGUUGCUGUGGGUGGAAUGUGUGGUGUAGCGGUGAAAUGCUUAGAGAUCACACAGAAUAUCGAUUGCGAAGGCAGCUCACAAAGCCAUUAUUGACGCUGAUGCACGAAAGUGUGGGGAUCAAACAGGAUUAGAUACCCUGGUAGUCCACACUGUAAACGAUGAUAACUCGCUGUCGGCGAUACACAGUCGGUAGCCAAGCGAAAGCGAUAAGUUAUCCACCUGGGGAGUACGACCGCAAGGUUGAAACUCAAAGGAAUUGACGG
rnacentral:rRNA from 1 species